ensembl:lncRNA
UGACACUUCGUAGAUGUUAUCUGACUACUCCUCUACAUUUCUAUCUAUUGAUGAGGAUCCUACUCUUUUAGUAUAACAAGUACAAUUGACUUCCAAUCAAUCAGUUUUGACAACAUUCAAAAAAGAGUAAUUAACCUAGUACUAGCCUUAACAAUCAACACCCUACUAACCUCACUACUGAUAGUUAUCAUAUUCUGGUUACCCCAACUCAACUCCUACGCAGAAAAAACUAGCCCCUACGAAUGUGGAUUUGACCCCUUAAAUCCUGCUCGCAUCCCAUUCUCAAUAAAAUUCUUCCUAGUCGCCAUUACUUUCCUACUAUUUGACCUAGAAAUCGCCCUACUACUAUCCUUACCAUGAGCCAUUCAAACAACAAACCUCCCAACAAUAAUCAAAUCGACCAUCGCUUUUAUUAUUAUCCUAAUUCUCAGCCUAGCCUACGAAUGAACUCAAAAGGGGCUAGACUGAGCUGAAUUGGUAAGUAGUUUAAACAAAAUAAAUGAUUUCGACUCAUUAGAUUAUGAUAACCAUACUAACCAAAUGACCCCCACCUAUAUAAACAUCAUACUAGCAUUUACUAUCUCUCUUCUAGGCAUACUAACCUACCGCUCACACUUAGUAGCUUCUCUCCUCUGCCUAGAAGGGAUAAUAAUAUCACUCUUCAUCAUAACCACUCUUAUUGCUUCAAACACACACUUUCCCCUAGUCAACAUUAUACCCAUUAUUUUGCUAGUAUUUGCUGCUUGUGAGACAGCAGUAGGUCUUGCCUUACUAAUCUCAAUCUCCAACACAUACGGACUAGAUUACGUUCACAACCUGAACCUGCUUCAAUGCUAAAAAUAAUUAUCCCCACGACCAUACUACUACCCAUAACAUGACUUUCUAAAAACGACACAAUCUGAAUCAACUUAACUACACACAGCUUAGCUAUCAGCCUCAUUCCCUUACUAUUCUUCAACCAAACCAACACCAACCUCCUCAAUCACUCAACCUACCUAUCCUCUGACCCUCUAACAACACCCCUCCUAACACUAACUAUCUGACUCCUACCCCUCAUGAUUAUAGCGAGCCAGUAUCACCUGUGCAACGAACCCCCCUUACAAAAGAAACUUUUCCUCUUCACAACAAUUCUCCUACAAAUCACCUUAAUUCUGACAUUCAUGGCCACAGAACUAAUUAUAUUCUACAUUCUAUUUGAAACCACCCUUAUCCCCACCCUAAUUAUCAUUACUAAAUGAGGUAGCCAAGCAAAACGCCUUAACGCAAGUACAUACUUUCUAUUCUACACACUAACCGGUUCUCUACCCCUACUCAUCAUACUGAGCCACACCUACAACAACACAGGCUCACUAAACAUCACACUACUAACACUCACAGACCAAAAACUAACAACCACCUGGUCCCACAACUUUACCUGACUAGCAUGCAUAAUAGCCUUUAUGACAAAAAUACCCCUCUAUGGCUUACACCUAUGACUCCCUAAGGCCCAUGUUGAAGCCCCCAUUGCAGGGUCAAUAGUCCUUGCCGCAGUACUCCUAAAAUUAGGCGGCUAUGGCAUAAUACGGCUUACUCCCAUUCUCAACCCCCUAACGGAAUACAUAGCCUACCCAUUCCUCAUAUUAUCCUUAUGGGGCAUAAUCAUAACAAGCCUAACAUGCCUCCGACAAACAGAUCUAAAAUCACUUAUCGCGUACUCCUCUGUAAGCCACAUAGCCCUUGUAAUUGUAGCCUCUCUCAUCCAAACCCCCUGAAGCUUCUCCGGCGCAACCACCCUUAUAAUCGCCCACGGGCUCACCUCUUCCAUAUAUUUCUGCUUGGCCAAUUCAAACUAUGAGCGCACUCAUAACCGUACCAUACUACUAUCCCGAGGACUUCAAAUUCUACUUCCACUAACAGCCUUCUGAUGGCUCACAGCAAGCCUUACUAACCUUGCCUUACCCCCCACUAUUAAUCUACUAGGCGAACUCUUUGUAAUCACAACUUCAUUUUCCUGAUCCCAUAUCACCAUUGUGUUAACGGGCCUUAAUAUACUAAUCACAGCCCUCUACUCUCUCCACAUGUUCAUUACAAUACAACGAGGAACACUCACACACCACAUAAUCAAUAUAAAACCCCCCUUCACACGAGAAAACAUAUUAAUAUUCAUACACCUCGCUCCAAUUAUCCUUUUAUCUCUCAACCCCAACAUCAUCCUGGGAUUUACUUCCUGUAAAUAUAGUUUAACUAAAACAUUAGAUUGUGAGUCUAACUAUAGAGGCCUACCACUUCUUAUUUACCGAGAAAACUCGCAAGGACUGCUAAUCCAUGCCUCCGUACUUAAAACUACGGUUUCCUCAACUUUUAAAGGAUAGCAGCUAUCCGUUGACCUUAGGAGUCAAAAACAUUGGUGCAACUCCAAAUAAAAGUAAUAAUCAUGCACACCCCCAUCAUAAUAACAACCCUCAUCUCCCUGACCCUUCCAAUUUUUGCCACCCUCACCAACCCCUAUAAAAAACGCUCAUACCCAGACUACGUAAAAACAACCGUAAUAUAUGCUUUUAUUACCAGCCUCCCCUCAACAACUUUAUUCAUCCUCUCAAACCAAGAAACGACCAUUUGGAGUUGACAUUGAAUAACGACCCAAACAUUAGACCUAACACUAAGCUUUAAACUAGAUUAUUUCUCUAUAAUAUUUAUUCCAAUCGCACUAUUCGUCACCUGGUCUAUCAUAGAAUUCUCGCUAUGAUACAUAAACUCAGACCCAAAUAUCAAUCAAUUCUUCAAGUACCUCCUUAUCUUCCUUACAGCCAUACUAACUCUAGUCACUGCCAACAACCUUUUCCAAUUCUUUAUUGGCUGGGAGGGUGUAGGAAUUAUAUCUUUUCUUCUAAUUAGCUGAUGACACGCCCGGACAGACGCCAACACAGCAGCUAUCCAAGCAAUCUUAUAUAACCGCAUUGGCGACAUUGGUCUUAUCCUAGCCAUAACAUGAUUCCUCCUGCAUUACAACUCAUGAGACCUCCAACAAAUACUAGCCCUAAACUCCAACUCAAACUCCCUACCAUUAGUGGGCCUCCUCCUAGCAGCAGCAGGAAAAUCAGCUCAAUUCGGCCUCCACCCUUGACUACCCUCUGCCAUAGAAGGCCCAACUCCAGUCUCAGCCCUACUCCACUCCAGUACAAUAGUCAUUGCCGGAGUGUUCUUACUCAUCCGCUUCCAUCCUCUAAUAGAAACCAACACAAUAAUUCAAAAUCUUACAUUAUGCCUAGGAGCUACUACUACCCUAUUUACAGCCAUCUGCGCCCUCACACAAAACGACAUUAAAAAAAUUGUAGCCUUCUCCACCUCAAGCCAACUAGGUCUAAUAAUAAUCACCAUUGGCAUCAACCAACCAUACCUAGCAUUCCUACACAUCUGCACCCAUGCUUUCUUCAAAGCCAUGCUUUUUAUAUGCUCCGGAUCCAUUAUCCACAACCUAAACAACGAACAAGACAUUCGAAAAAUAGGAGGCCUAUUCAAAACAAUACCCCUCACCUCAACUUCCAUAAUCAUUGGCAACCUAGCACUUACAGGAAUGCCCUUCCUCACAGGCUUCUACUCUAAAGACCUCAUCAUCGAAGCCACAAACACGUCAUAUACCAACGCCUGAGCCCUAUUUAUUACUCUCAUCGCUACCUCCCUAACAAGCGCCUACAGUACUCGAACCAUCCUCCUCACCC